CACGUAGGAGGCAAACGUUAUCCGGAUUUACUGGGCGUAAAGCGCGUGUAGGUGGUUCUGUAAGUAGGGCGUGAAAGCUCCCGGCUCAACUGGGAGAGGCCGUUCUAAACUGCAGAGCUAGAGGAUGGUAGAGGGAGGUGGAAUUCCAGGUGUAGCGGUGGAAUGCGCAGAUAUCUGGAGGAACACCAGUGGCGAAGGCGGCCUCCUGGACCAUUCCUGACACUCAGACGCGAAAGCUAGGGUAGCAAACAGGAUUAGAUACCCUGGUA
rnacentral:rRNA from 1 species